rnacentral:rRNA from 1 species
UACAGAGGUCUCAAGCGUUGUUCGGAUUCAUUGGGCGUAAAGGGUGCGUAGGUGGUGAUGCAAGUCUGGUGUGAAAUCUCGGAGCUCAACUCCGAAAUUGCACCGGAUACUGCGUGACUCGAGGACUGUAGAGGAGAUCGGAAUUCACGGUGUAGCAGUGAAAUGUGUAGAGAUCGGGAGGAACACCGGUGGCGAAGGCGGGUCUCUGGGCAACUCCUGACGCUGAGGCGCGAAAGCGUGGGGAGCAAACGGG